rnacentral:rRNA from 1 species
UGGGGAAUAUUGCACAAUGGGCGCAAGCCUGAUGCAGCCAUGCCGCGUGUAUGAAGAAGGCCUUCGGGUUGUAAAGUACUUUCAGCGAGGAGGAAGGCGUUGUGGUUAAUAACCGCAACGAUUGACGUUACUCGCAGAAGAAGCACCGGCUAACUCCGUGCCAGCAGCCGCGGUAAUACGGAGGGUGCAAGCGUUAAUCGGAAUUACUGGGCGUAAAGCGCACGCAGGCGGUCUGUCAAGUCGGAUGUGAAAUCCCCGGGCUCAACCUGGGAACUGCAUCCGAAACUGGCAGGCUAGAGUCUUGUAGAGGGGGGUAGAAUUCCAGGUGUAGCGGUGAAAUGCGUAGAGAUCUGGAGGAAUACCGGUGGCGAAGGCGGCCCCCUGAACAAAGACUGACGCUCAGGUGCGAAAGCGUGGGGAGCAAACA